rnacentral:rRNA from 1 species
UUCUGCUUUCGGGCAGAAACGACCGGCGCACGGGUGCGUAACGCGUAUGCAACCUACCCACAACUGGGGGAUAGCCCGGAGAAAUCCGGAUUAAUACCCCAUAAUGCAGGGGUACUGCAUGGUACUAUUUGCUAAAGAUUUAUCGGUUGUGGAUGGGCAUGCGUCUGAUUAGUUAGUUGGUGAGGUAACGGCUCACCAAGGCGACGAUCAGUAGGGGGUCUGAGAGGAUGAUCCCCCACACUGGUACUGAGAUACGGACCAGACUCCUACGGGAGGCAGCAGUAGGGAAUAUUGGUCAAUGGGCGGAAGCCUGAACCAGCCAUGCCGCGUGCAGGAUGACGGCCUUCUGGGUUGUAAACUGCUUUUAUCAGGGAAGAAAACGGUCAUGCGUGACAGAUUGACGGUACCUGAAGAAUAAGCACCGGCUAACUCCGUGCCAGCAGCCGCGGUAAUACGGAGGGUGCAAGCGUUGUCCGGAUUUAUUGGGUUUAAAGGGUGCGUAGGCGGAUUAUUAAGUCAGUGGUGAAAGUUUGCGGCUCAACCGUAAAAGUGCCAUUGAUACUGGUAGUCUUGAGUACAGUAGAGGUAGGCGGAAUUUAUGGUGUAGCGGUGAAAUGCAUAGAUACCAUAAAGAACACCGAUAGCGAAGGCAGCUUACUAUACUGAGACUGACGCUGAGGCACGAAAGCGUGG